rnacentral:rRNA from 1 species
UACGUAGGGUGCGAGCGUUAAUCGGAAUUACUGGGCGUAAAGCGUGCGCAGGCGGUGAUGUAAGUCAGUUGUGAAAUCCCCGGGCUCAACCUGGGAACUGCAUUUGUGACUGCAUCGCUGGAGUGCGGCAGAGGGGGAUGGAAUUCCGCGUGUAGCAGUGAAAUGCGUAGAUAUGCGGAGGAACACCGAUGGCGAAGGCAAUCCCCUGGGCCUGCACUGACGCUCAUGCACGAAAGCGUGGGGAGCAAACAGG